GGAUGUGAGGGCGGUCUGGCUGCGACAUCUGUCACCCCAUUGACCACCAGGUUGAUUUGGCUGAUCUGGCUGGCUGGGCGGUUGUCCCCUUCCUCCCUCACUCCUCCAUGUGCGUCCCUCCUGAAGCUGCGUGCUCAGUCAAAGAGGAAGAGCAUCCCUGAUAAAGGAAGACCGGUCUUCGGUCAAGGGUAUACAACUAGCUGAGCUAUCCUGCUAGAACCUCCAAACAAGCUCUCAAGAAGUUGGCUUAAGGUCCAGCUCCAGCCCUGCCCAGAUUCCCACCCUCUAAGGAUGAAGCACUCAGGCUUACCUCUAUGA
rfam:Papio anubis isolate 1X1155 chromosome 11, whole genome shotgun sequence.